rnacentral:rRNA from 1 species
AUACGUAGGUGGCAAGCGUUGUCCGGAAUUAUUGGGCGUAAAGCGCAUGUAGGCGGUUUGGUAAGUCGGUCGUGAAAAUGCGGUGCUUAACGCCGUAUGGCGAUUGAAACUGCUGAACUUGAGUGGAGGGGAGGAUAGGGGAACUCCCAGUGUAGCGGUGAAAUGCGUAGAUAUUGGGAAGAACACCGGUGGCGAAGGCGCCUUUCUGGACUGUGUCUGACGCUCAGAUGCGAAAGCCAGGGUAGCGAACGGGAUUAGAUACCCCGGUAGUCCUGGCCGUAAACGAUGGGUACUAGGUGUGGGAGGUAUCGACUCCUUCCGUGCCGGAGUUAACGCAAUAAGUACCCCGCCUGGGGAGUACGGCCGCAAGGCUUAAACUCAAAUGAAUUGACGGGG